AUUGAACGCUGGCGGCAGGCCUAACACAUGCAAGUCGAGCGGAUGAAGGGAGCUUGCUCCUGGAUUCAGCGGCGGACGGGUGAGUAAUGCCUAGGAAUCUGCCUGGUAGUGGGGGAUAACGUCCGGAAACGGGCGCUAAUACCGCAUACGUCCUGAGGGAGAAAGUGGGGGAUCUUCGGACCUCACGCCAUCAGAUGAGCCUAGGUCGGAUUAGCUAGUUGGUGGGGUAAAGGCCUACCAAGGCGACGAUCCGUAACUGGUCUGAGAGGAUGAUCAGUCACACUGGAACUGAGACACGGUCUAGACUCCUACGGGAGGCAGCAGUGGGGAAUAUUGGACAAUGGGCGAAAGCCUGAUCCAGCCAUGCCGCGUGUGUGAAGAAGGUCUUCGGAUUGUAAAGCACUUUAAGUUGGGAGGAAGGGCAGUAAGUUAAUACCUUGCUGUUUUGACGUUACCAACAGAAUAAGCACCGGCUAACUUCGUG
rnacentral:rRNA from 1 species